GGGAAGGGGCGGCCUGGCCGAGGCUGCCUGAAGUUGGUCCCCGAGGGGCCGCUCCUGGCUGCUGCGGAAACCUGUGAUAACUGCUUAGCUCAACAGAAGGACCCGUCAGUGUCAGAAACUGUAAGGCGCUGCUAGCCCAGGGGGCCGACCAGCUGGACUGGACGACGGGAAAGUGCAGGCCCAGCGCAGGGUGUACUCCUGGGACCUGGAGAUUGCCCAAUUUUUGCCUUGUUUUCAUCUUCACUGU